GCGGCUGGAGUCAUUCUAGAAACCCUAGGGUUUCUGAAAAUUGUUCAAAUCGGGCCAUAGUGUAUUGGGCCUGGGGUUUUAGGUAUUUUAGGCUGAAUUAAGUUUGGGUUAAUCUGUAUUUGGCUUAGAGUCUGUAAAUGGACAUUUAAAAAGGACUAUUUUUUAUUUUUUAUUUUUUUAUAUUUUUGUUUAUUUAUUUCUGAUUUGGGCCGGGCCGGGCAAAAUUUGGGUAUUACACCGUUACUUCGAGUUGGGUUCUUCAGAGUGCAAGGUUGCCGGAAUCUUGAAUCGGGAACAUGUGUAUCUUAG
rnacentral:lncRNA from 1 species